GCAAAAAAAUCCACCCAGAAAUAGCCCAGAAAUACUCCAAAAAUAGCAAAAAAUCCACCCAGAAAUAUCUCAAAAAUCCCAAAAAAUCCAUCCAGAAAUAUCCCAAAAAUAGCAAAAAAAUCCACCCAGAAAUAUCCCAAAAAUAGCAAAAAAAAUAGCAAAAAAAUCCACCCAGAAAUAUCCCAAAAAUCCCAAAAAAUCCAUCCAGAAAUAUCCCAAAAAUAGCAAAAAAUCCAGCCAGAAAUAUCCCAAAAAUAGCAAAAAAUCCAUCCAGAAAUACCCCAAAAAUAGCAAAAAAUCCACCCAGAAAUAUCCCAAAAAUAGCAAAAAAACCCACUCAGGAACCAGCCAGAAAUACCCCAAAAACCCCUAAAAAUCCACCCAAAAAUCCCCCCAAAAUUCAGGGCUCCCCAA
rnacentral:lncRNA from 1 species